GAUGAACGCUGGCGGCGUGCCUAAUACAUGCAAGUCGAGCGAACAGAUGAGGAGCUUGCUCCUUUGACGUUAGCGGCGGACGGGUGAGUAACACGUGGAUAACCUACCUAUAAGACUGGGAUAACUUCGGGAAACCGGAGCUAAUACCGGAUAACAUAUUGAACCGCAUGGUUCAAUAGUGAAAGGCGGCUUUGCUGUCACUUAUAGAUGGAUCCGCGCCGUAUUAGCUAGUUGGUAAGGUAACGGCUUACCAAGGCAACGAUACGUAGCCGACCUGAGAGGGUGAUCGGCCACACUGGAACUGAGACACGGUCCAGACUCCUACGGGAGGCAGCAGUAGGGAAUCUUCCGCAAUGGGCGAAAGCCUGACGGAGCAACGCCGCGUGAGUGAUGAAGGUCUUCGGAUCGUAAAACUCUGUUAUCAGGGAAGAACAAAUGUGUAAGUAACUGUGCACAUCUUGACGGUACCUGAUCAGAAAGCCACGGCUAACUACGUG
rnacentral:rRNA from 1 species